GGGCUAGUAAAGGUUUCGACAGGGAUCUUGAAGAUGGAGAAGCUAUCCGGAGCCGAGCGUUAAACGGCAAACCUAAACUAAACGCUAACGACAAAUUAGCACUCGCGGCUUAAGUCCGCGUGCCGCCCGCAGGACACCUGCUUCCUGCGGAUACGGUAUCAUGAAAGCAGGAAACGACAUGGGCUAAGCUUUGCCCCCAUGGGCGUAUCAUGAAGCUACCGAAUCGGAAACGGCUGUCAGUUUCCGCCCGAGGAGGGAAAUCCAAACAUAACUGACUAUGAUAGUAGAAGUACAUGGGACGGGUCUUUGGACGCGGGUUCGACUCCCGCCUAGUCCACCA
rnacentral:tmRNA from 1 species